GCCCAGUUAGCUUGGUUGGUAGCGCGUCUGCCUUGUAAGCGCUAGGUCGUGGGUUCGAUUCCUUUACGGGGCG
rnacentral:tRNA from 1 species